GAUGAACGCUGGCGGCGUGCCUAAUACAUGCAAGUCGAGCGAACGGACGAGAAGCUUGCUUCUCUGAUGUUAGCGGCGGACGGGUGAGUAACACGUGGAUAACCUACCUAUAAGACUGGGAUAACUUCGGGAAACCGGAGCUAAUACCGGAUAAUAUUUUGAACCGCAUGGUUCAAAAGUGAAAGACGGUCUUGCUGUCACUUAUAGAUGGAUCCGCGCUGCAUUAGCUAGUUGGUAGGGUAACGGCUUACCAAGGCAACGAUGCAUAGCCGACCUGAGAGGGUGAUCGGCCACACUGGAACUGAGACACGGUCCAGACUCCUACGGGAGGCAGCAGUAGGGAAUCUUCCGCAAUGGGCGAAAGCCUGACGGAGCAACGCCGCGUGAGUGAUGAAGGUCUUCGGAUCGUAAAACUCUGUUAUUAGGGAAGAACAUAUGUGUAAGUAACUGUGCACAUCUUGACGGUACCUAAUCAGAAAGCCACGGCUAACUACGUGCCAGCAGCCGCGGUAAUACGUAGGUGGCAAGCGUUAUCCGGAAUUAUUGGGCGUAAAGCGCGCGUAGGCGGUUUUUUAAGUCUGAUGUGGAAGCCCGCGGCUCAACCGUGGAGGGUCAUCGGAAACUGGAAAACUUGAGUGCAGAAGAGGAAAGUGGAAUUCCAUGUGUAGCGGUGAAAUGCGCAGAGAUAUGGAGGAACACCAGUGGCGAAGGCGACUUUCUGGUCUGUAACUGACGCUGAUGUGCGAAAGCGUGGGGAUCAAACAGGAUUAGAUACCCUGGUAGUCCACGCCGUAAACGAUGAGUGCUAAGUGUUAGGGGGUUUCCGCCCCUUAGUGCUGCAGCUAACGCAUUAAGCACUCCGCCUGGGGAGUACGACCGCAAGGUUGAAACUCAAAGGAAUUGACGGGGACCCGCACAAGCGGUGGAGCAUGUGGUUUAAUUCGAAGCAACGCGAAGAACCUUACCAAAUCUUGACAUCCUUUGACAACUCUAGAGAUAGAGCUUUCCCCUUCGGGGGACAAAGUGACAGGUGGUGCAUGGUUGUCGUCAGCUCGUGUCGUGAGAUGUUGGGUUAAGUCCCGCAACGAGCGCAACCCUUAAGCUUAGUUGCCAUCAUUAAGUUGGGCACUCUAAGUUGACUGCCGGUGACAAACCGGAGGAAGGUGGGGAUGACGUCAAAUCAUCAUGCCCCUUAUGAUUUGGGCUACACACGUGCUACAAUGGACAAUACAAAGGGCAGCGAAACCGUGAGGUCAAGCAAAUCCCAUAAAGUUGUUCUCAGUUCGGAUUGUAGUCUGCAACUCGACUACAUGAAGCUGGAAUCGCUAGUAAUCGUAGAUCAGCAUGCUACGGUGAAUACGUUCCCGGGUCU
rnacentral:rRNA from 1 species